AAGACCUUGCGCUUUUGGAGCGGCCGAUGUCUGAUUAGCUAGUUGGUAGGGUAAUGGCCUACCAAAGCUUCGAUCAGUAGCUGGUCUGAGAGGACGACCAGCCACACUGGGACUGAGACACGGCCCAGACUCCUACGGGAGGCAGCAGUGGGGAAUUUUGGACAAUGGGCGCAAGCCUGAUCCAGCCAUGCCGCGUGAGUGAAGAAGGCCUUCGGGUUGUAAAGCUCUUUCAGCCGGGAAGAAAAGGCUACGACGAAUAAUCGUAGCUCAUGACGGUACCGGAAGAAGAAGCACCGGCUAACUACGUGUCAGCAGCCGCGGUAAUACGUAGGGUGCGAGCGUUAAUCGGAAUUACUGGGCGUAAAGGGUGCGCAGGCGGUUUUGUAAGUCAGAUGUGAAAUCCCCGGGCUUAACCUGGGAACU
rnacentral:rRNA from 1 species